rnacentral:tRNA from 1 species
GUCUUUAGCUCAGUUGGUUAGAGCACCUCACUUUUAAUGAGGGAGUCGAUGGUUCGAGUCCAUCAAGAC